AUCCUUUUGUAGCUCAUAAGCAGGAUGACUGGGUUUUCACACUCAUGUGUGAGAUAUGCCUCCCUCAAACCUUGUUAUGAGGUAGGCACAUUACCCAUCUGACA
ensembl:snoRNA